rnacentral:rRNA from 1 species
AACGAACGCUGGCGGCAUGCCUAACACAUGCAAGUCGAACGAACCCUUCGGGGUUAGUGGCGCACGGGUGCGUAACGCGUGGGAAUCUGCCCUUGGCUUCGGAAUAACAGUUAGAAAUGACUGCUAAUACCGGAUGAUGUCUUCGGACCAAAGAUGUUAUCGGCCAGGGAUGAGCCCGCGUAGGAUUAGGUAGUUGGUGGGGUAAAGGCCUACCAAGCCGACGAUCCUUAGCUGGUCUGAGAGGAUGAUCAGCCACACUGGGACUGAGACACGGCCCAGACUCCUAGGGGAGGCAGCAGUGGGGAAUAUUGGACAAGGGGCGCAAGCCUGAUCCAGCAAUGCCGCGUGAGUGAUGAAGGCCUUAGGGUCGUAAAGCUCUUUUACCCGGGAUGAUAAUGACAGUACCGGGAGAAUAAGCUCCGGCUAACUCCGUGCCAGCAGCCGCGGUAA